GGAGUUUGGACCGUCUCUCAGUUCCAAUGUGGCCGAUCACCCUCUCAGGUCGGCUACCGAUCGUCGCUUUGGUGGGCCGUUACCCCGCCAACUGGCUAAUCGGACGCGAGCCCACCCCAAACCGGUUUGCACCUUUUACCCCUGGGCCAUGUGACCCUGUGGUCUUAUGCGGUAUUAGCACCUGUUUCCAAGUGUUAUCCCCCUGUCUGGGACAGGUUGCUCACGCGUUACUCACCCGUCCGCCACUAGAAUAUAUCCGAAUCCUGCCGAAGCUCUCAUCUAACAUAUCCCCGUUCGACUUGCAUGUGUUAAGCACGCCGCCAGCGUUCGUCCUGAGCCAGGAUCAAACUACU
rnacentral:rRNA from 1 species